rnacentral:rRNA from 2 species
UUAAAUUGAAGAGUUUGAUCAUGGCUCAGAUUGAACGCUGGCGGCAGGCCUAACACAUGCAAGUCGAACGGUAACAGGAAGCAGCUUGCUGCUUCGCUGACGAGUGGCGGACGGGUGAGUAAUGUCUGGGAAACUGCCUGAUGGAGGGGGAUAACUACUGGAAACGGUAGCUAAUACCGCAUAACGUCGCAAGACCAAAGAGGGGGACCUUCGGGCCUCUUGCCAUCGGAUGUGCCCAGAUGGGAUUAGCU